GAUGAAGAACGAAGCGAAAUGCGAUAAGUAGUGUGAAUUGCAGAAUUCCGUGAAUCAUCGAAUCUUUGAACGCACAUUGCGCCUUCUGGUAUUCCGGAAGGCAUGCCUGUUCGAGAGUCAUUAACAACCGUUUCGAUCCCUUUCUUUCAGAAAUUACAAAGAGGAAAAGGGUUUGGUUAUGGUGGAGGAGGGAAAGGGAGCGUUUAGCCUGUAAAAAAAGAGGCUGUGUUCCGCCUCCCCCCCAAAAUUGUACAGGCGGUCGUGUGCGCCCACGCAUCGAGGUGUUGUAAAAGCUGCCACGGCACUUUUCACCUGUGCAGUGCGAGAUUGGCCAGCCGGUUUAAAAACCCCUCCAAACAAUCAAAGGUUGACCUCGGAUCAGGGAGGGAUACCCGCUGAACUUAAGCAUAUCAAUAAGCGGAGGA
rnacentral:misc_RNA from 1 species